rnacentral:rRNA from 1 species
AGCCGGCGGUUCGCCGCCGGUGACGUUGUGAGAAGUUCAUUAAACCUUAUCAUUUAGAGGAAGGAGAAGUCGUAACAAGGUUUCCGUAGGUGAACCUGCGGAAGGAUCAUUGCACACACGAGUUGCAGCCAACCCGCGGCGAACGAACACAUUGUCCCCCUCGGCGGGUCGUGGCGCCUCGCGGCGUCGCGGCCGGCCGGCUCCCUUCGUCACGAGCGAGCUCGCGAGCUCUCUCGCGGCGUCGGGUUUCCACCAUGCAUCCACCUUGACCGAAUGACUGAGUCCCGAACAUACUUAAUCAAGGAGUGAGUUCCGCCCCGUUGGCUUUCGGGCUAAAGGGGUCGGCGCUGGUUACCUUGCGAGUUGUGGAAACGUAACCAAAACAACUCUCAGCAACGGAUAUCUUGGCUCUUGCAACGAUGAAGAACGCAGCGAAAUGCGAUACGUAGUGUGAAUUGCAGAAUUCCGCGAAUCAUCGAGUCUUUGAACGCAAGUUGCGCCCGAGGCUUGUCCAAGGGCAUUUCCGCUAGAGCGUCACCGCGCCCCCCACCAAUCCACUCCCAUUCAUUGGGAGUUGGGUCGAGUGAAAGUGGCCAUCCCGGCGAUAGGGCCUCCUUCGAAGGAAGGAAGCAAGGCCUUAACAAGGGUUGGCUGAAAUGGAAGGAAUCGGGCCGCCGUGGUGACACAGUCCGCGAUCGGGUGAUUCGAGCUCCUCCGGGAGCCCGGAAUUUUCUAAGUGCGUGGCUGCGUCCCCCAGUCGGUUGUGGUUACCUCGUGCAGGUCGAUCGCGCCCCCGCGGCGCGCGUCACGCAUCAGA